UAACUGUAAAGGGUUUGUCUAUUUAAUGGUGUGGAAAACAUUCCAGAUAUCAAUUGAUAGCAAUUGUUGUGGACAAAGCGACAGAAAGAAAAAAAGUCAUCAAAGAAAUGUACUAUUCUCAAUAAGUUGAAGAAUGAUAUUG